UACGGGGGGGGCAAGCGUUGUUCGGAAUUACUGGGCGUAAAGGGCUCGUAGGCGGCCAACUAAGUCGGACGUGAAAUCCCUCGGCUUAACCGGGGAACUGCGUCCGAUACUGGAUGGCUUGAGUUCGGGAGAGGGAUGCGGAAUUCCAGGUGUAGCGGUGAAAUGCGUAGAUAUCUGGAGGAACACCGGUGGCGAAGGCGGCGACCUGGGUAGAUACUGACGCUGAGGUGCGAAAGCGUGGGGAGCAAACAGG
rnacentral:rRNA from 1 species